rnacentral:miRNA from 1 species
CUUGUUUUUCUCCAAUAUCUCA